rnacentral:tRNA from 1 species
GCGCUCGUGGCUCAACCGGACAGAGCAACGGCCUUCUAAGCCGUGGGUUGCAGGUUCGAGUCCUGCCGGGCGCACCA